UUAAAUUCGAAAAAAAUGUCAUAUAAUUAAAUACAUAUUAAUGUAACAUUACUUGUUAUAAAGAUAAAAUGAUUAUUCUACCUGAGUGUAUGUGCAUUCACUGUGUGUCUGAACAUUACAUAUUUUUAUUAACAAUGCAAUGAUCAUUAAUUAAAAAGGAGGAAAUGCUACUUGAUGAUAAUCAAACCACCUUGGAACUUCCACGUCCUGAUAGCGAUAAACAUACGAGACUGUGUUAAUGCAUUCGAUUGUUAUGCUGAUUCUGCGCAACCUUCAGAAUAUGCAAUCGUUAGUAUUACUAGGAGGUUUACUUCUCUGUCUUGUACUCAUGAUACAAGUGAAACAAAUAUAUGACAAUAAUCAAAGGUAUAAUCGAUACCUUGGAUAUAAACAAUUUAUGGACGAAAUAUCGGCUGAAUUAAAUAUUGUAGAGAAAAAUGCAAAUAAAUCAUCGGAUUAUGUCCAUCGACUGAACGAAGCCCUAUUUCGACAUCGAGAGAGGGAGGCAAAGAAUAUCUCAUUAACAAGGACUGUAAUACCAUGAGAGAUUCACACAUUCAGCCACCUGAAAAGUUGGUGAUAAGUAAAAGUCCUGAUCAAUGGGGAAUGGCAUCUUGUAGUUGAUAUUAUGAAUCAACUUGUAAUGCUUCGUCCUGAUAGCACGC